UGUAUCCUCCAUGUCUCCACUGAUAUGGAUUCAGCCCGCCAACCUAGGCGGGCUUUUUUCG
rnacentral:ncRNA from 1 species